GUGAUAUACUGAUAUGUGUUUGUGCCAGAGCUUUUGCACUCUCCUUGCAUCAAUUCUUUAUGUAACUGUACUAUGUCUGGCAUAAUAGGAUGAUGAGGCAAGUCAGUAAGUUGAGAAGGUCAACAGUUAAAGCGAAUCUCAAUGUAUUACUUGAUAACUCUUUAGUGCAUUUUUUGUGCCAACAUUACAUUAAUCAAUCACUUUGAUUAGUGGAAGCAACUAAGCUGUUGUUGUAAGUACACAUAAUCAGAACGAAGGGUGAGGCGGACAAGCAGAUCAAUAGGUUGCUAUAUUAUUCCACAUAUAUGGGUUUGUGUGAUGUUACUUUGGAUUACUAAGAUUGUUAAUCUAUACUGGAAAUUAGCGGCUGUUAAAAAUUAGUCUUGAUUUACUAUAGCAAUAGUUGUUGGUUACAGCCAUUAAAAAGAUUGAUUAGUUCUAUCAGGUUAUUUAAACAGCAGCAAGGAAUGAACAAUACAGCUCUCUUUAAUUUUCUUUGAUGUUUCCUCUUUUGUCUGAUCUGAAAUAAUAUGUCAUUAUUAUAUAUUCUACCCCACAUCAUCAUUCCUUCUACAUCGCUCAUAGGAGAAUACUGUAAUGGCACUUUAUUACUUGGUGGUAAUAGACAUAACUCCAGUCUUGCCAUGUUUGUACAAUUAAUUUAAUUCAAUUCCAAACAUGUAUCAUUUGCAGAAGAUGUGCCAUGAGUUGAUGGGCAGCUAGCCAGCCGUUGCAAGAGCAUUCAGAGAUAUGAGCUGCUACUCAUACACAGCUCCUACAAACCUACAGAGCCAUUGUUCUCCUACCUGGGAGCGGAUAGGAAGGAUUUGGGUGCCGGCAACAUGGGGCUGAGAAGAAAGGAGGAUGUUUGAGGACAACUAGUGAGCGUACUACAACCGCAGCUGAUUCGUGUGUGUUGUUUGUUCGAUCCAACCCUUCCGUCUGCAGGGCCUGGUGAAGGGAAUGAAGAUGCACACCCUCGGCCAUGACUUUGUACUCUAGGUACAAAAGCGAGAUAGACUGAAAUUUGAUAAACAUUUGCUGAAUAUACAGUAUUGCAUGAUUCCUUGUAUUAGCCUCUUUCCAAAUGCUCAGUUUUAUGACAGGAAGAUUUUACAUAGUUCAAAUGUCCUGUCUCCUAGCUAUGACAAGGAUUAUACAUGCCUCCUGUAUGGCAGCUAUACUCUUAUAAAUGUCACGGAUGGGAGGGAAGACAAGGAGGGCACAGGAAACAGUCGAUGAAACAUGGUUGAAGUUGUUGUUGUUCUGCACCUCAUCCAAACCAUCUUUAGAUGUUGGAAAAGUACAGGCAAAGCGCUCAGCAUCGGUGUGGUCUCUUCGUAGAGUCUCAAGUUGAUGCUAUUAAAAAUAGACUUGAUAAAAAAUACAACACAUGUGAUGGCUUUCAUGUGCGCGUCAAGUCUAUUGAUGGUUUUCAAGGAGAAGAGGAUGAUAUAUUAAUACUAUCACCGGUAAUAUCCAAUUGGAAUGGAGUUGUUGGGUUUCUUGCUGAUAACCAAAGAACAAACAUUACAUGGGACAAGGGCAAGGCUCUGGAUUUUCUGAAUGAAUCGUUAGGAUAUACAACUGAAGCAAUGACGUCCUGCCGGUGUAUAUAGGCGACGACCGCAUCGACAGGAUCCUGGUGGCCAAGUGCCUCAAGGAGAGCAGCACGUCUUACUCACUCCCAAGACCAGCAGAGCUUUUUCAUGGCCUUUAGACAUUUGAAACGGAGGGAGUAUGAUUCUCCUAUAUUUGCGUGCUUGUAGCUUUGAUUUAUUUUAUGAAUGUGUGCUGCUGCUGUAUCUUAUUUUUCCAACCUAUUGAUCCUGUCAGAUGUGCGCCAGGGCAGGCUCUGGUCAGCACUAAGGGAUUUCAGUUAUAAUUCCAUGAGCAAUGCUUGCAUUUA